CAAGCACAGUGAAGCGUCAAUUUUGCAGUCAGUGUAUUUUGUGGAAGUAGCGGAAGGAAAAUUCUUAAAAGAAUACUUUUAUUUUCAGAAAUUUGAGGUUAGAAAAUAUGAAGAAUUUUAACGAUUUGACAAUUGAUGAGUUGUCUGUCGAGUUGCACAAGGUCAUUGAUCCGGAAGUUGUUGCAAUUUUGAAAGAUAAUUUGAGAGCUUUAGCUUUACUGCCCGCGAUUUUACCCAAUACUAAUUUCUCAACGGGUAAAAGGUCAGCUGACGACAUCAGAGAAGGGUAGAAUGGAAAAAAGGGAAAAGGAAAUGGUGGUGCGGGAGUUCGAAAGGAGUGUUACAGGUCAUUGUCAACAUCGGCGGAAAAAUCGAAAAUCCACGACAAUAAUUGUCUUUUGCGGAUUUUGGCGCUCGGAACCAAUAUAGACGAUUAUGUGGUGGAUGUUCGCAAAGAUGCUUCGACGAACGUCCAGCCGUACAUAAUCCUUAUCAAAGGUGACACCAAGGACCUUCUCUAACGUUUUUUUCUAAUUUUAUGGAAGUUUAUCUUUAUAAAACCUCAAAAUCGGCAAAGAACUCAGUGAGGUCCUCAGAAACAGCCUUAAGAAACUUUAAAUCAGCUUCCACUGAACUUUCGGGCAGUCUUUAGUUUAUUUUUUUGUUCUCUAAAUAAUAUUUCUU